AUGGUGUGCACCAAGUGCGAGAAGAAGCUGGGGAAGGUGAUCGUCCCGGACAAGUGGAAGGAGGGCGCCAGCAACACCUACGAGGGCGGCGGCCGCAAGAUCAACGAGAACAAGCUCCUCUCCAAGAAGAGCAGCUGCACCGAGCAUAGUUUUAAAGCAGGGAGAGGCGUGAAGAAAUUAUUAGAACAGAGGUCGAGGCGGCUGCAAUUCCUUGGCCCAUUGGCUGUAGUGCUCGGUUUUCACUCAAACUCUCAUGAGGGGAUCUAA
rnacentral:rRNA from 1 species